rnacentral:rRNA from 1 species
UAUGACGGCCAUAGCGGAGGAGUCACACCCGGUCCCAUUCCGAACCCGGCAGUAAAGCCCUCCCGCGUACCUGUCUGUACUG